UGGCCGACGCGGCGCGGCGCGCGCCCCCCCGCCUGCUGCGCGAGGGUCCGGCCGAGGGCCGGGAGCUGCGCCUCGACGGCGUGCCGGUCGCCC
rnacentral:tRNA from 1 species